rnacentral:tRNA from 3 species
GCCCCUGUAGCUCAGCGGAUAGAGCAUUGGCCUCCGGAGCCAAGUGCGAGGGUUCAAUUCCCUCCAGGGGCU